rnacentral:rRNA from 1 species
UACGAAGGGUGCAAGCGUUACUCGGAAUUACUGGGCGUAAAGCGUGCGUAGGUGGUUUGUUAAGUCUGAUGUGAAAGCCCUGGGCUCAACCUGGGAAUUGCAUUGGAUACUGGCAGGCUAGAGUGCGGUAGAGGGUAGUGGAAUUCCCGGUGUAGCAGUGAAAUGCGCAGAUAUCAGGAAGAACACCCGUGGCUAAGGCGGCUCUCUAGUACGGUACUGACGCUGAGACGCGAAAGCGUGGGGAGCGAACAGG